rnacentral:lncRNA from 1 species
CACAGUAAUUCUGGGAGCUGUGUAUUGUGACUGCGCCUUCAUUUCUGUUGGGAACUCGAAUACAUUCCUCUUCAAAAUGACUCUGCCCCAGACAUGCAUUAUCUAGGCACAACUUCCCUGAAGCAGUAAAGGAUGCAGUUGAUAAAUUUGCUGUGAAAUGUGGAAGCCCCUGGUUCAAUCAGGAGGUGAUGACCCAGGAUGAGGACAACAGAAGGACUGAGAACAACAAAGAGCUCCAGAAAUUAGAAGCAGAUAUUUCUUUUGGAACAUAAGGUUUACAGCUCUUCAGACAACUCCAGAAUCCAGAUCAAUGUGUUGUUCCUGUUACUCAGAGGAAUAUUUCUUCCUUUUCUGAUAUCGUAAGUCAGCUCUUGGUCUCAAACAGAUGUUA